GACGAACGCUGGCGGCGUGCCUAAUACAUGCAAGUCGAGCGCAGGAAAUCGACGGAACCCUUCGGGGGGAAGUCGACGGAAUGAGCGGCGGACGGGUGAGUAACACGUAAAGAACCUGCCCUCAGGUCUGGGAUAACCACGAGAAAUCGGGGCUAAUACCGGAUGGGUCAUCGGACCGCAUGGUCAGAUGAUGAAAGGCGCUUCGGCGUCGCCUGGGGAUGGCUUUGCGGUGCAUCAGCUAGUUGGUGGGGUAAUGGCCCACCAAGGCGACGAUGCAUAGCCGACCUGAGAGGGUGAUCGGCCACACUGGGACUGAGACACGGCCCAGACUCCUACGGGAGGCAGCAGUAGGGAAUCUUCCUCAAUGGACGAAAGUCUGAUGGAGCAACGCCGCGUGAACGAUGAAGGCCUUCGGGUCGUAAAGUUCUGUUGUAAGGGAAGAACAAGUGCCGCAGGCAAUGGCGGCACCUUGACGGUACCUUGCGAGAAAGCCACGGCUAACUACGUGCCAGCCGCCGCUGUAA
rnacentral:rRNA from 1 species